GCUCCCAUGGCGUAGUGGUCACUGCACUCGCCUUGCACGCGGGAGACCCGGGUUCGACUCCCGGCGGGGUCA
rnacentral:tRNA from 1 species